UACAGAGGUCCCGAGCGUUGUUCGGAUUCACUGGGCGUAAGGGGUGCGUAGGUGGUGAGGUAAGUCGGAUGUGAAAUCUCCAAGCUCAACUUGGAAACUGCAUUGGAAACUACCUUGCUAGAGGAUUUGAGGGGGGAUUGGAAUACUUGGUGUAGCAGUGAAAUGCGUAGAUAUCAAGUGGAACACCAGUGGCGAAGGCGAAUCCCUGGAAAAUACCUGACACUGAGGCACGAAAGCUAGGGGAGCAAACAGG
rnacentral:rRNA from 1 species